UGGGGAAUAUUGCACAAUGGGCGCAAGCCUGAUGCAGCCAUGCCGCGUGUAUGAAGAAGGCCUUCGGGUUGUAAAGUACUUUCAGCGGGGAGGAAGGGAGUAAAGUUAAUACCUUUGCUCAUUGACGUCACCCGCAGAAGAAGCACCGGCUAACUCCGUGCCAGCAGCCGCGGUAAUACGGAGGGUGCAAGCGUUAAUCGGAAUUACUGGGCGUAAAGCGCACGCAGGCGGUUUGUUAAGUCAGAUGUGAAAUCCCCGGGCUCAACCUGGGAACUGCAUCUGAUACUGGGAAGCUUGAGUCUCGUAGAGGGGGGUAGAAUUCCAGGUGUAGCGGUGAAAUGCGUAGAGAUCUGGAGGAAUACCGGUGGCGGAGGCGGCCCCCUGGACGAAGACUGACGCUCAGGUGCGAAAGCGUGGGGAGCAAACAGG
rnacentral:rRNA from 1 species